rnacentral:misc_RNA from 1 species
CCUUCCGUAGGGGAACCUGCGGAAGGAUCAUUACCGAGUGUAGGGUUCCUAGCGAGCCCAACCUCCCACCCGUGUUUACUGUACCUUAGUUGCUUCGGCGGGCCCGCCAUUCAUGGCCGCCGGGGGCUCUCAGCCCCGGGCCCGCGCCCGCCGGAGACACCACGAACUCUGUCUGAUCUAGUGAAGUCUGAGUUGAUUGUAUCGCAAUCAGUUAAAACUUUCAACAAUGGAUCUCUUGGUUCCGGCAUCGAUGAAGAACGCAGCGAAAUGCGAUAACUAGUGUGAAUUGCAGAAUUCCGUGAAUCAUCGAGUCUUUGAACGCACAUUGCGCCCCCUGGUAUUCCGGGGGGCAUGCCUGUCCGAGCGUCAUUGCUGCCCAUCAAGCACGGCUUGUGUGUUGGGUCGUCGUCCCCUCUCCGGGGGGGACGGGCCCCAAAGGCAGCGGCGGCACCGCGUCCGAUCCUCGAGCGUAUGGGGCUUUGUCACCCGCUCUGUAGGCCCGGCCGGCGCUUGCCGAACGCAAAUCAAUCUUUUUCCAGGUUGACCUCGGAUCAGGUAGGGAUACCCGCUGAACUUAAGCAUAUCAAUAAGCGGAGGA